GAAUCCGCYAAGGAGUGUGUAACAACUCACCUGCCGAAUGAAUUAGCCCUGAAAAUGGAUGGCGCUUAAGCGGGUGGCCGACACCAUGCCGUCUGAAUGAUAAAUUUCARAUGAGUAGGAGGACGUGGUGAUCGUGACGAAGUAUGCGUGCGAACGCGUAUCGAACGAUCACUAGUGCAGAUCUUGGUGGUAGUAGCAAAUAUUCAAGCGAGAUCCUUGAAGGGCGAAGUGGGGAAGGGUUCCACGCUAACAUUGAUUGGGCGUGGGUGAGUCGUUCCUAAGCCGAGUGGCAAUUGCUAAGUAACGGCGAAAGGGAAGCGGGUUUACAUUCCCGCACACGGAUGUGGAGGCGGUGACGCUUUAUUGGGGCGAACACGCUGGCGAUGGCGCUGGGCAGAGUUGUCUUUUCUGUUUGACCGUUUGCGCAUGCGGUGUGGAGUCCGCUUGUCGGGAGAAACACGCAUGCGCGGGCAGAGCGCCGGGGCUUAUCCGGCGUCCAGCUCGCCAUCGACGGCCCUUGAAACUUUGCCUGCUGAUUUUAGAAUCCACGCCGUGGCGUACCGAUCACCGCAUCAGGUCCCCAAGGUGAACAGCCUCUGCUCAAUAUGAAAAAUGCAGGUAAGGGAAGUCGGCA
rnacentral:rRNA from 1 species